rnacentral:rRNA from 1 species
CAUGCCGUAAACGUUGGGCACUAGGUGUGGGGGACAUUCCACGUUUUCCGCGCCGUAGCUAACGCAUUAAGUGCCCCGCCUGGGGAGUACGGCCGCAAGGCUAAAACUCAAAGGAAUUGACGGGGGCCCGCACAAGCGGCGGAGCAUGCGGAUUAAUUCGAUGCAACGCGAAGAACCUUACCAAGGCUUGACAUGGGCCGGACCGGGCUGGAAACAGUCCUUCCCCUUUGGGGCCGGUUCACAGGUGGUGCAUGGUUGUCGUCAGCUCGUGUCGUGAGAUGUUGGGUUAAGUCCCGCAACGAGCGCAACCCUCGUUCCAUGUUGCCAGCGCGUAAAGGCGGGGACUCAUGGGAGACUGCCGGGGUCAACUCGGAGGAAGGUGGGGACGACGUCAAAUCAUCAUGCCCCUUAUGUCUUGGGCUUCACGCAUGCUACAAUGGCCGGUACAAAGGGUUGCGAUACUGUGAGGUGGAGCUAAUCCCAAAAAGCCGGUCUCAGUUCGGAUUGGGGUCUGCAACUCGACCCCAUGAAGUCGGAGUCGCUAGUAAUCGCAGAUCAGCAACGCUGCGGUGAAUACGUUCCCGGGCCUUGUACACACCGCCCGUCAAGUCACGAAAGUUGGUAACACCCGAAGCCGGUGGCCUAACCCCUUGUGGGAGGGAGCCGUCGAAGGUGGGACCGGCGAUUGGACUAAGU